rnacentral:rRNA from 1 species
AGUGAACACUGGCGGUAGGCCUAACACAUGCAAGUCGAACGGCAGCACAGGAGAGCUUGCUCUCUGGGUGGCGAGUGGCGGACGGGUGAGGAAUACAUCGGAAUCUACUCUGUCGUGGGGGAUAACGUAGGGAAACUUACGCUAAUACCGCAUACGACCUACGGGUGAAAGCAGGGGACCUUCGGGCCUUGCGCGAUUGAAUGAGCCGAUGUCGGGUUAGCUAGUUGGCGGGGUAGAGGCCCACCAAGGCGACGCUCCGUAGCUGGUCUGAGAGGAUGAUCAGCCAAACUGGAACUGAGACACGGUCCAGACUCCGACGGGAGGCAGCAGUGGGGAAUAUUGGACAAUGGGCGCAAGCCUGAUCCAGCCAUACCGCGUGGGUGAAGAAGGCCUUCGAGUUGUAAAGCCCUUUUGUUGGGAAAGAAAUCCAUCUGGUUAAUACCCGGGUGGGAUGACGGUACCCAAAGAAUAAGCACCGGCUAACUUCGUGCCAGCAGCCGCGGUAA